UACGUGCUAAAUCAUCCGAAUUAAUCUAUACCGUCCAUCCACGCGCAAGAUUUCUCCACAGCACAAUUUCACCGCCAAGGAUUUCACGCGCGAAGACUUCGCUCCUCCUCCUCCACCCGCGGCUGCGAAAACAUCGCUUCUCCUCUCUCGCUCAUCCUCCUCCCCGCGUGUAUUGAAGUUGCAUCCUCACCGGAGCUCCUCCCUGCUGCAGCCGCUUCGCCGCAUCCUGCUUCUUCCCCACCGCCGCGGCCAUUCUCCUCGCUCGCUCCUCCUUCUCCCCACGUGUACUGAAGCCGCAUCCUCGCCGGAGCAGCCGCUGCUGCCGCUGCCGGAUACUGCUUCUUCCUCACCGCCACGGCCGGAUCCGACCUCGGCCCCUUCUGCCGUCACCGACACCGCCGUGCACUCCGCCGCUGGCCGGCACCGAGGUCGGCCCUCUUCCCCAUUUGCCACUUCAUCAUCAUCAGAUCGCCAAUGUUGACCCUAUUGUUGAAAGCCUAUAGUACGAGUAAGUCCCUCAAAUCCUGUGUCUUUUCUUAAUCUUCUCCGUACGUGUGGAAAUUUUGAUAUCUAUGUCUGAUGAUCUUCGUUCUUAAGCCUUGGCUAUGUUGGCUAAAUAUUCAAGAAACCUAGAUAGUGACUGCUGAUAGAUUCAUGUUAUGUCCUGUCCGAUGCUGAAUCAUGAGGGAUUCUCCAAGAGGACAGGAAGCUGUCCUACAGAACCAGGCAGUCAAGUUGUAGAGAUGGUGAAAAGUAUGGAGAAGCUACAGUCAAGUUGCUUGCUGCUACAUUAUGACUAACAGGAUCAAUGGGUGCUUGCUGAUAAAAGAAUGCAUAUAAAUAACAAAUGGUCCAGCCUCCUACAACUGUCACUGUACAGCAUCAAAAAAGGAGAUUAUGAUAUCUGAAAACUUCAAUCGCAAAGUUUGAAAAAUAGAGUGCAUCAAGUUUGCCAUGGAGAUGGCAACUACCAACCCAUGGUCAUGCGGACAUCAAGAAGCGGACAACAAGAAACAUCAUAGGAGCACCUCACCAUCACAUGGCUAUGAGCAAGAGGGGUCUGCAAGAGUAAUCCACUGAACUUUGUUGAACUUGUAAUUUUCAUCUGCAUGCUCUGGUUCUCUAAUUGCUUUGAAUUACUUAUCAUCCUUCAAUAAACCAGCUGUUGUGAAUUCCCAAAACAAAGUUGGAUGCGCUAGACACCAUCUGAAGUUGGUCAAUGGCAACUCGAGAAAUUGUAUAUAUUUGGAACAUUACCUUCCUCAUUAGCUUUUUAUUUCUUCAAUUUCUUCUAGCAAAUACAGGUAUUAUGAACAACAACUUUUUCAUGAUUCUAACCUCCAAUAAUCUGAAGUUCCCAGUUUGAUUAUAUAAUCUAGGAACCAAAUCAUGAAGCUGGCGACAUUGGUAAGAGGUAAUGGUCUAGAUUAAUCUAUAUUGAGCUACGGUUUGUAUUUUGUUGUUGGGGUAAAUUAUGAUGUCCUUUUAUAAGAGAAAAGUUUAGUUGGUCAAUGGCAGGUUCAUCUCAGCAGUAAGCCAAUAAACAUACCGAUGAACCUGAAAAAAUUCCAUAUAAAAAACAUUGCAGAGCAAUUUUUGGAAUGUUUCACGUCCAAUCUGUAUUCCCCCUCUAUUCUUCUCAUAAAUUAUCUUAUGAUGAGACAUUGGCCUUUUUAUUUAAGAUCAAAUUUAUGAGACUAUUCAAUUGUGGCCUUAUUUUUGCCAUAUAUAUAGGACAGCCAUACGGGGCACCAUGGUGUGUGCGUGUGAUGGUGAUUGUUUUUCUCCAGCUGCAUUAUGCAUCUCUUUUCAAAUCUUAUGAUAGGUGCUUGUGAUGCCAUCCAGCAAAACCACUGGUUAUUUUGCUGGUAUACUGAUAUUAGGCCCAUAAAUGAUUUUUUUUUGCUUUUUUACAUUCUUUGGUGAUGAAGUUCAUAGUUCUUUGUUCACUGUAUUGAAGCUGCAAUCUAUGACAUUAGAAAAAAGGUAUGGUGAUUGUUUCUAUUUUUCAGUAUGUGAUUUUUCCAAUGUUUUUCAAUCUUUCCUAUUUUUCAAUUUGCCUAUUUUUUACACAUCUAUACUCCUUUUGCAUUAUGCAUCUCUCAAUAGAUGAGAGCCUUAUUUUAUUUUCCUUGCAAGAAAUGCUGCUGAUCAAUUUAAUUUUGUGUUAUGCUACUGUAAGAUGGCUUGAUAGGAGUUUUGCAAUACAUACUGCACUACUGUAGGCACUGGCACAGUUUGAGAGCACAACAUAUAGAAUUUCCUUAUUUGUUUUGUAGUUUACAAUGUGAUGUUUAUAUCACAGGCUUGGUGUUUACUGGGUACUUGAUGCUGGAAAACAUUUAUGACUUUAUAUAUACUUCCUCAAACAAUUUAAGAUUCUCUUUCUUGAUUUGUUUCUGCAUGUAAUGGUGAAUUUCCUGAUUACUAAUAACUGUCAUAUGGCUUCAUUUAUUUGUCGGAGCUAACUGGGUUUGAUUAUUUGUGAUCACCUUAAGUGUUGCUGCUUAAGCCAAAGGAAGAGGAAAAACUUUUAUAUAAGCAUUUCAUUUCAUACAGGUUCCCUCAUAUUUUCUAGGUACCAUUGCCACUCUAGAAAAGAUUGGAAGGCCUUCUAGGCAUCAUUGAUACUCCUGUCCAAAAGGUGUUUGACGAAUUUGGAAGGCCUUCGUUGUUUGCUGCAGAUAGACCAAACAUGAUUGCUUGAACAAAAAAUAGAUGGUUGUGGGAGAACAUUCAUCUUUACAUUCUUUAGCUUUCCCUAUUUUCUUAGUAUCUUGUAGUACAUGAAAUUGCAAUUCCUUUUACUUACUAGAAAGUAAAUGUCGUGCAUUUGCAACUUUGUUAUACAACGAAUAUAUCAACUGGGGUUUGUGAGCAAUGUUUUGAAAAUUAGAUUAUAUCAUGUAAGGAUUUCAUAUCUUUUUUACCAAGAUUAUCUUAUGAGUUUUUAGCCUGUGUUUUUUAUUUAAAUCUUGAUGUUUUCAUGCAGUCAAUAUUGACAAGAAUGCCACCAUCUUUUUUUUUUUGCCAUGGAUUUCAUUGUUAUGUUGUAAUCUGGUGUGGAAUAUGGGAAUGGCUACUUUGUACAUUAUGAAUAUACAUGUACCUUUGUUGGCUAGAAGGUAGUGUGAUUCACCAGAAAGGAUUUUAUAGUAAUCAUCCAAAUUGUUAUUUUACUAAGGUGUAUGAAAUUCUAUUUUUA